AGAGUUUGAUCCUGGCUCAGGACGAACGCUGGCGGCGUGCUUAACACAUGCAAGUCGAACGAGAAUCUGUGGAAAGAGGAUUCGUCCAAUUGAAGCAGAGGACAGUGGCGGACGGGUGAGUAACGCGUGAGGAACCUGGCCUUUCAGAGGGGGACAACAGUUGGAAACGACUGCUAAUACCGCAUGACACAUAGGUGUCGCAAUGGCACUUAUGUCAAAGAUUUAUCGCUGAAAGAUGGCCUCGCGUCUGAUUAGCUAGUUGGUGAGGUAACGGCCCACCAAGGCGACGAUCAGUAGCCGGACUGAGAGGUUGAACGGCCACAUUGGGACUGAGAUACGGCCCAGGACUCCGUACGGGAGGCA
rnacentral:rRNA from 1 species